UGGACAUCGUUUCUCACAUCGCUGUAAUCAUACACAUUCAACGCAAUCAAGUUGAUUCACGCCUGUUUUGUUGCAAUUUCUUGAUGGCGUCCAUCAGAUAUUACGUCAGUAUCCACUAUCCUUCGAAUUCAACGAGUAUUAUUUACAUUUUCUCGCCUAUCGUAGUUUCUCCAUGCGUUUUCGUACGUUUUUACUGGAUUCAGAGCACGAACGUGUGCAGAUGGGUUGGCUAUCAGAUGCUGAAAAGAAAGAUGCAAAGACUUCUAAAU